CCGAAUGGGGAAACCCACAUGCAUAAGCAUGUAUCUUUAACUGAAUUCAUAGGUUAAAGAGGCAAACCCGGGGAACUGAAACAUCUAAGUACCCGGAGGAAAAGAAAUCAACCGAGAUUCCCCUAGUAGCGGCGAGCGAACGGGGAUUAGCCCUUAAGCGUAGAGGGUGUUAGUGGAAUGUGUUGGAAAGCACAGCGGCACAGGGUGAUAGCCCCGUACAUGAAAACUAACUUUACGUGAAAACGAGUAGGACGGGACACGUGACAUCUUGUCUGAACAUGGGGGGACCAUCCUCCAAGGCUAAAUACUCCUGAC
rnacentral:rRNA from 1 species